rfam:Gossypium arboreum cultivar AKA8401 contig_15930_3, whole genome shotgun sequence.
AACCCAUGGUGAGGGCACCUUCUCAAUAAGUCCUUGUAUCUUUCCCAUGCAUCAUAAAGCCAUCUGCACAAAAGAAAAAAUAUCAUUCCUCAACUU